GAUGAACGCUGGCGGCGUGCUUAACACAUGCAAGUCGAACGAAGCACUUUAUUUGAUUUCCUUCGGGACUGAUUAUUUUGUGACUGAGUGGCGGACGGGUGAGUAACGUGUGGGUAACCUGCCUUGUACAGGGGGAUAACAAUUGGAAACGGCUGCUAAUACCGCAUAAGCGCACAGCAUCGCAUGAUGCAGUGGGAAAAACUCUGGCGGUAUAGGAUGGACCCGCGUUGGAUUAGCUAGUCGGUGAGGUAACGGCACACCAAGGCGACGAUCCAUAGCCGACAUGGGAGGGUGACCGGCCACAUUGGGACUGAGACACUGCCCCAACUCCUACGCGAGGCAGCAGUGUGGAAUAUUGCACAAUGGGCGAAGGCCUGAUGCAGUGACGCCGCGUAAGCGAAGCAUUAUUUCGGUAUGUAAAGCUCUAUCAGCAGGGAAGAUAGUGACGGUACCUGACAAAGAAGCACCGGCUAAAUACGUG
rnacentral:rRNA from 1 species